rnacentral:ncRNA from 1 species
UGCUUACGCACAGCGGAUUAAAAGGGAAUCCGGUCAGAAUCCGGAACAACCGCCAUUACUGUAUUUGACAAGUCGCUGUGCAAUAUGCCAUUGGAUUUUCCGAGAAGGCGCAUAGCGAGUCGCGAAUUUUUCGCAGCAUCAUAAGUCAGGAUAUCUGCCGUGUCUUUG